GAGCAAGUUCAUUAAAUUAGAAUGGUGCAAUCUUGCAUUGAAGGUUGGCAAUAUGAAUUAUUGGGCAAUUCUCCGUGCCUUUCGAUCUAUGCUUGUAUCGAUUGUGGCCUCGAACAAAUUGCUACAUG